AGGAGUCUAUCUGCAGUCGAGCGACAGGAUAGGAGCUUGCUCCUUUGAAGUUAGCGGCGGACGGGUGAGUAACACGUGGGUAACCUACCUAUAAGACUGGAAUAACUUCGGGAAACCGGAGCUAAUGCCGGAUAACAUAUAGAACCGCAUGGUUCUAUAGUGAAAGAUGGUUUUGCUAUCACUUAUAGAUGGACCCGCGCCGUAUUAGCUAGUUGGUAAGGUAAUGGCUUACCAAGGCGACGAUACGUAGCCGACCUGAGAGGGUGAUCGGCCACACUGGAACUGAGACACGGUCCAGACUCCUACGGGAGGCAGCAGUAGGGAAUCUUCCGCAAUGGGCGAAAGCCUGACGGAGCAACGCCGCGUGAGUGAUGAAGGUUUUCGGAUCGUAAAACUCUGUUAUUAGGGAAGAACAAAUGCGUAAGUAACUGUGCGCAUCUUGACGGUACCUAAUCAGAAAGCCACGGCUAACUACGUGCCAGCAGCCGCGGUAAUACGUAGGUGGCAAGCGUUAUCCGGAAUUAUUGGGCGUAAAGCGCGCGUAGGCGGUUUCUUAAGUCUGAUGUGAAAGCCCACGGCUCAACCGUGGAGGGUCAUUGGAAACUGGGAAACUUGAGUGCAGAAGAGGAAAGUGGAAUUCCAUGUGUAGCGGUGAAAUGCGCAGAGAUAUGGAGGAACACCAGUGGCGAAGGCGACUUUCUGGUCUGUAACUGACGCUGAUGUGCGAAAGCGUGGGGAUCAAACAGGAUUAGAUACCCUGGUAGUCCACGCCGUAAACGAUGAGUGCUAAGUGUUAGGGGGUUUCCGCCCCUUAGUGCUGCAGCUAACGCAUUAAGCACUCCGCCUGGGGAGUACGACCGCAAGGUUGAAACUCAAAGGAAUUGACGGGGACCCGCACAAGCGGUGGAGCAUGUGGGUUUAAUUCGAAGCAACGCGAAGAACCUUACCAAAUCUUGACAUCCUUUGAAAACUCUAGAGAUAGAGCCUUCCCCUUUCGGGGGGACAAAGUGACAGGGUGAUGCAUGGAUUGUCGUCAGCUCGUGUCGUGAGAUUGUUUGGGGUUUAAGUCCCCGCAACGAAGCGCAACCCU
rnacentral:rRNA from 1 species